UUGUGCUUACUCGCGGAGGGUGCACGGUCCGAGGGAAGUCCUUCUCGUUGUAAUGGUCCUUGUGCACGCGAACGACCCUAAUGUGUGAUGGAGGCCAAGCUGACAUGUUAUCUCGUCGUCCAGGCGCUAGCCCUCGUCUCCACCUCUGGCGAUUCGCAGAUAGAACAAUGCAAACUCCAUUGCCCACUGCAGAAUCGCACGCGGGACAUUCACUACGAAGUGGGAUGUAGCCCAGAUUGUAAAAUUGCUCAGUGCCUAAAAGGGUGCACGUUGUGGGAGAAGGCGCUAGAGGCAAGCUGUCAGACGGUUUGUAACGGGACGCAGGAACUGCUGCCGCCCAAGGAGCUCUACUGCGUCAUGGGUUGUAACGACGCACUCAAUAGAUAUCUGCAGAAACUGAAAGACGAGCUUGGAAGACCUCCUCCACCAGCACUGGUUGCUGAUUCGCUGACUUCAACUUCAUUGAAGCUCGAAUGGGAACGAGGCUCCUACCCAAACUUAACAGCCCUGUUGCAGUGGAGUUAUGCCGAUGCUGGACAGUGGCAAUAUGCCAGAAAUCAAAGUUGGAACUUAAAUCAAGUCAAUGUGUCAUGUCUCAGGCCAUAUACAAACUACAGAUUCAGGGUAUCACUGCUUGCACAAGAAAUGGAGUUGGUGAUGUCUGAAGCGAGCCUUGUGAUAGGUACGCUUCCAUCGGGUCUGCCUUCGUCUCCUCCAAGCCUGGUACGGGCCACUGCGACAGACCCGACAAGGGUUUCAGUCUCCUGGCUUCCAGGCCCUUUUCCCAAUGGGCCUAUAUUGUCCUACGUUGUUUCUAUCGAUGAACUUCCUCACGGUUACAAAGCACACAAGGAUAUACCCGUAUCGGAAAAAAAGGAGUUUUAUAUGUUUCAAAGCCUACUGCCUUCUAGGAACUAUUCAGUUUCUGUUGCAAUGAGAAAUGCAGUAGGUCUCGGUCCUCCUGCAGUGACUAUGCUUUCAACACCUUCACUCUCUCACGUUAAAAAAGCAGAAAAGACUAUUCUUAUAUUGGGGGCUCAUCAUACGGUUAUCAGCCAAGCUGCUGAUAUGCUGGACGAGCCGGUCGUCAUGUAUGAAACCCAACAUAGAAUCCGAGGAGUGGCAGUCCACAUAAGAAAAGGGCUCUUAUUUGUAUCAGACUCAUUGGGAAGAGUCAUGGUGACUUCUGCACGCGGGAAGCAUCAUGCUAGAGUUCUUCUUGGCACUGGUGUCGGUGAUAUAACACCGCAUGCUCUUUCCGUAGACUGGCUGAAUGAUCAGUUGUACAUUCUUGGUGAAGUGGGAAGAAGGUGGCAAGUCGCACGGUGCGAGUUGGAUGGCUCUGGUAUGAUUGUUGCUCUCGCAGGUCUCCUCGAUAAGCCUUUACAUAUGGAAAUUGAUCCAUAUAAUGGGUACUUAUUCUGGGUGAUGGAAGGAGUUCCAAGGGGAGGACUGUACCGGCUGGACAUCGCAGAUAUUAGCAAUGGGAUAAAACAUGAAGUAACCCCAGAUCUUAUCUUGCAAGAUCCAGAUCUUGGGGCGUUCACAGUCGACCAUACAAAUUUUCGCAUUCUUGUAUCGAGCCACUCCAAAAAUACUGUCCUUGCUGUUUCCUUGGAUGGAAAGGAAGUGACUGAUUUGAGACACAACACGCAAAAACCACAAUUUGAGAAAGUCCUUUCUCUCACAAUGGCCAACGGUCUCUUCUAUUGGACCAACGGGGAUAUAGUACUUACAGAAGAAUACCACACAGGGCAGAACAGUUAUUUUCACAAUCUUGUUGUCCCUGGUGUAAAAGAUCCUGGCUAUGUGAGUAUUGGAGUGGAUCUUCCCUCAGCUCAGCCAGUCCCUGCACCUGUUAAUCCACCGACUGGACUGCAAGCAGUGAUGGGCGCUAAGUUUGUGAGAGCCACAUGGAACAUACCACAUCUUCUUGGAGGUCAGGGGAAAGGCGCCUGGCAGAACUGGUCAUACCAACUGAGCAUUGAAGACCUUUCAACUGGAGAGACAUCCCUCUUGCGUCACAUUAAUUCAACAAGUGCCAUGGUCCAGGGGCUGAUGCCCGGCAGGCAGUACUUCCUGAAGACAGCCGCUGCCACAAGUUCAGGUGUCGGGCCUUGGUCUGGGGCCUUCACAGGGACGACAUUAACUAGUGAAGGCAGAGCGAGGCUCAUAUGGAGCUCAUCCGAUUCAGGACUCUUAACAACAGAUCCGACCGGGCAGGAUGAAGAAAUCUUACUACAUUCCGAUCAACUCCAAGGAAGUCAGCGUAAAUAUCAAAUAACAGGUAUUUCAUGGUAUGAAGACCAACUUUACCUAGUUACAAAUGGAAGUGGUGUCCUUUGGUACAACGUUACCACUAGAGAAAGUGGAAAAGUCGCAGAUCUCACUUCAGUCGGAAGCAUCGCAGUUGACUGGGUCGGGAAAAAACUAUACUGGUCAAAUCCAAAACAACAAUUGAUAGCGAGAGGCAGCCUGAAGGGCAAUGACCAAGAACCUCUGCCGAUCCUCACAGUGGCAAAAGAAUUGAAUAUAGAUUCAACACAAGCGUACAUUUAUUGGUCUACAGGACAUGCUGUUGAAUGUGCUAGGCUUAAUGGAAAACACAGACGGGUUUACUAUCCCGCUGAAUUAUUUUCUGGAAAACAGGUUAUGGGACUUACUUUGGAUACCAUAUCAAGGAUGGUUUUUUGGAUUGUUAGAAAUUACGAAGGAUCCACUCUUUUUCGUGCCGAGAUGGCAAAUGGAAAUAAUUUGAACUGGGAAGUCUCUUCAACCAAAAUCUCCUUGGUGCAGCAUCCAGAUAUUUUAGGGCCUUUGGUAUAUUUUGACAAUAGACUAAUUUGGCUAAGAGAUGACAAGCAAGCUGUGAUCGGCGAUUUAUUAGGCUCUAAUUCUGCCCUGCUCAAUAUUCCAGUACUUAAUAAUCUUAAUGUGUUUACUGUCAUCGACGAGACAAGAAUGCUAACGGACCAGAGUUCCUCAUUGAAUGCCAUUCCUGAAUCAAUAAAGCAAGAUUCUAUAAGAAUUGUUGGUAAUUAUAGUAAUUUUAACAUCAGUUGGGAUCCAGUAACCAAUGUAAAUAUUGGUGAAGUAUUCUAUGAGUUGAAAAUUUCUCAUAAAGAUCAGAAAGAAAUUACAGUGGAGACUGUGGGUUCGACUUGGUCUUAUCCAUCUUCUGACAUCCCUCCGCCAUAUUCAAGCUUAGAAGUGUCGGUGAGAGCACUCACUUAUUGGGGUGUAUCAGCCCAAGUCAGCACAAUUCUUUACAGCCCUGAGACUUCACCGUCCCAACCAUCUCAACCGAGAGCUUUUGUCGUUAUAAGAACACUACCAGGGAAGUCGGUUAAAGAGCCAGAGGUUGUUUUCCGCUGGGAUCCUCCAUUGUCACCUAACGGAAUCAUUAUCCGUUACACCGUUGUAUGCUGGCUGAACGGAUCAGACACAUUUUUAUGCAAUGCUCCGAAUCUUGAUCCAAAUCAGCUCAGUUUUACGUCCAAAGACGUGCCUUUUAACGUAACUGUGUUUUUUCAGGUCAGGGCAUGCACAGAAAGCGGUUGUGGAUUACCAAGCAGAGCAGUAAUGGUUAGAACGGGUGUACAAACCCCAAUUCCCAGGUUGCUUCUGACGACCAAUGAAACUCUGACCCUGACGGAUGUCGACCGUGGAGACAACACGACAUUGGCGCACAAUACAGGUGGCGGGGUGACUGGUGUUGUAUUUCAUAGUCGGGGCAGUGGAGGUGUUUACUGGAUCCAAGACUCCCAGACAAUAGUCCAUUCUUCAGCGAAAAUCCGAGCAAAGCAUAAAAUCCUGAGCUUGAACGGGACAGGCUUGAGCCUUGCCAUCGACUGGGUCAGCAACACCCUGUUCUGGACAGAAAUGUCCGAAAGAACCAACGAACUAAGAAAACUCGACCUGACACAUUUUGAACAUGAUAUCAUACAUGUCAAAACUCUCCUGAUCAGACCAUCACCCAUGCUGUCUGUACAGAUAAAUCCAUUAACACGGUCAAUUUACUGGUUUGAGGAAAGUACUAAUAAGCCAAAGCUCUGGCAGUCCUCCAUGGACGGAACAAACGUCACUCCAUUCUUCAAAAAUGGAAAGCAUAAAAGAAGGUGGGAAAGAAGUCCAUGUUCAUGUCCUUCUGAGCCACAUCCUGGGCCACAGUUUACAAUCGACCACAUAUCUGGUGUACUUAUUUGGUCAGAUGUUGUUUUGAAAAGGCUGAUGGCUUCUGACCUCAACGGCUGUCACUGUACUGUGCUGAUGGACAAUCUUCAGCAUAACGAAACUGGUUUACCUCCGAGCUGGAUAACAUCCGACCAGGAAUUAGUCUACUGGUCAAAUUCAACCGAAAACAGGCUUUACAGCUUGCAGAAACGAGAUUUGGAAAGAUACGGAAUAGCUCAACCUAAACAUGAAUUUAUUCCUGGUUUAAAAGAGAUAACUGCUUUUGGAAAUCACCUUCAGCCUUAUCCAGAUCUAAAAUGUCUUAUACCGAGACAGCCUCCCCCUCCACCAAGCCUGACAGGAAAGUCGAGCGACAGUCUCACACUCCUUUUAAGUGAUAAUCCAAGGACGGAAGAAUGUUGGAACAUUUCUCAGCCAAACUCAUUCUACACUGUCUAUUACCAGGAAGUGGAUGCUGAAGGUUUCACGACUUGUACAACCAAGAUCAGGGACUGCAAGAAAUACGAGACACUCGAAAAGUAUGUGACUAUAGAUGGCCUCAACCCCUAUUCGGAAUACAUAUUUAUGACACUCGAGAGAAAUUAUUAUUCAGACUUGGCCAACAUCACUCUAGAGCCUAGCAUACCCGUUGUGUUUCAGACUGCUCCUGGAGCACCAUCACCACCGGAAGAAGUAAUGGCUGAUGUGCUUUCUCCAAAUACUUUGUUGAUCAGUUGGGACCCACCUCGCUUGCUCAACUCUGAUAUGGUCAGUUACGAAGUGUUGUGGACCUCUGAUGGUCCGGUUGACGGUAUGAGGCAAAGAGGCGAACAGGUCGUACCUCCGAGGUGGAACUACUCGAACGGGAUGACGAGGGAAGAAACUCAGAUUCACAAGCUGUCACCGGGCGCAAAUUAUUUGAUAUGGGUUCGAGCUUAUUCUGAGAAUGCUGAAGCAUAUUCAGAAAGCAAACCAAUCGAAGUGUCCAUGUUUCCAGAGCCUAACAAUUUAACUCUAGUCAGUGCGACUGCGUAUUCGCUGAACAUCACAUGGCAGAAAAACACUGACCUGCCUUACAUACACCACAAACUCGAGUAUGUUGACAGUUCGUCAGGUGAGUGGAGUGUAGUCUCACCGACGAAUUCAACCGAAACCGGCCUUGAGGAGUAUCUGAUGGUGGGCCUUAAACCCAAAACGGUGUACACAUUCAGGAUCAAAAUCAUAUACAAAGACCCAAAUAGUCCUUUCUUAUGGCCACAAGACAAUAGAUUUACAUUUAAAACUUUGGGUGACAGACCGAGCAAGCCUGGUGUACCUGUCAUUCAACAUUUGAGCGGUGAGGCCUUCCAAGUUGCUUGGGAGCCUUCAAAAGAUAAUGGGUCUCCUGUUCAACUCUACUGGCUCGAAGGCACAAAAGUGAGUGAUUUGGAACGAACUUUGAACGUUGAAAAUCUCACAGAAAAAGAUGGAGAGGAUGAAGAUGUUGAAGACCCUUGGAAACUUUAUUUCAACGGGACUGAUAAUUUCUGGAUUGUUUCAAACCUGGAAAGCCAUGAGAGGUAUAAAUUUCGUGUGAGAUCACAGAACGACUAUGGGUGGUCGGACUUUAGCGAGUCGAGCGGUUCUUUCGACCUGACAAGGGCUGCGAUGCUGGGCGAUAGAAAGGAGAUAACUAUUAUCAUAUGGAUCAUGACUCCUGCAGCUAUAAUCUUGACCUUAUUGGUUUUCAUGUGCGUCUUGUACAGACAUGAAAGGGUAAAAAAAUGGGGCUCAGCUGGAAGCGGUCACAGGGCACUGAACGAUCCGUCAAAAGGACCGGACGUCGAGCUGGCUUCACUGAGGCAGAUACCGAGAUGGUCGGCACAUGUCCAAUCGUCAAACAUCCUUUACACUGGAGGAAAUCUAGCACCCGUUUCUCUCUUGCCACACCUACGACGUGAUCAAAUCACACUUUCGAAGUUCUUAGGCUCAGGGGCAUUUGGUGAAGUGUUCGAAGGGCAGGCGAGAAAUCUUCCCAACUCGGAGAGUGAUAUCACACGAGUUGCUGUAAAGACAUUAAGAAAAGGUGCUAAUGAUCAAGAAAAGGCAGAGUUUUUAAAGGAGGCACAGUUGAUGUCGAAUUUUCGGCAUGCUCAUAUACUUCAACUCCUCGGUGUGUGUCUGGACAAUGAUCCUCAUUUUAUCAUAAUGGAACUUAUGGAGGGUGGAGAUCUUUUAUCUUACCUACGUGCAUCACGUCCUCUUCUUAAAACUGAAUCUGGUUUAACUCUGAUCGAUCUUCUCUCCAUGUGUGUGGAUGUUGCAAAAGGCUGCUGCUACUUAGAAGAGAUGCAUUUUGUCCACCGAGACCUGGCAUGCAGGAACUGCCUCGUCUCGUCUCGUGUGAGAGAAGACAGAAUCGUGAAAAUAGGAGAUUUUGGACUGGCAAGGGAUAUUUAUAAAAAUGACUACUACAGAAAAGAAGGCGAAGGUCUGUUGCCGGUCAGAUGGAUGUCCCCCGAGUCGCUCGUCGAUGGCGUUUUUACCUGCCAGUCAGAUGUUUGGGCUUUUGGGGUCCUCCUCUGGGAAAUUAUGUCCCUCGGGCAGCAACCAUACCCAGCCAGAAAUAACUUAGAAGUACUUUAUUAUGUCAGGAACGGUGGAAGGCUUAGCCAGCCCACAAACAGUAACGUUCACAUGUAUGACCUUAUGAUAAAAUGCUGGAAUUUCAAUCCAGAGGAACGGCCGACUUUUAAAUAUUGCCUAGAUGUUUUAGAAGAGAUAUUAAAAAAUACUGAAGACAUUCCUCUCAACACUUCAACACUUACAACUGAAACAGUAGAUGAGUAGGACAGCAUGAAAUUCCUCCUAGAAUCUACUCCAGAACAAAAUCCAAGAACAAUCUUGAACUGUGUGGUUAAUAAGAGGAGGACGGAGGAUAUUGGCCCGAUUAACUCCCAGGGGAUACCAAAAUACCUCGAGCUGCUCUACGACAGUGGCGAUAGCUCCGGUUAUGAGAUACCCAAGUCGCUCUGUGAAAUCAGUGAGACCACCCAGCUGCAAAACGAAAUCGUGAGUGAUUCGGAGGAGCGGUCCAGCUUAGAGAAACUACUGCCUGUCGUCGACUCGGCCUUGUCCGAGAGAAGAAACAGAGACUCAAUGGUCGUGAGAUGAUUCCAUGUAUGAUAAAGUUAAAUUACCAAAGAGUUUUGUAUUUAUAUUUAUAUUGAACGUGCUUAGUACAAAUUGUGUCAGGCGUUACGAGAUGAGUAAAGUUUCAUUACAUAUUGAUGAUUUAUUUGACUGUGAUUGUGGUAGAUUAUUGACUGAUUGAAAUAUUCACAAUUUAUUACUGUUUAAAAAAGAUCUGUACAUAUUUAUAUUUUAUUAUUGUAUAUUAGAAUGUUUCCUGAAAUCUUGCAUUUAAUUUAUUUUGUAGCACUUUAUAUUUUAUUCA
rnacentral:misc_RNA from 1 species